rnacentral:autocatalytically_spliced_intron from 1 species
GGAGUUGAGCAUGGUAAUUGUUCGUUAGCCAUGUAGCCGACGAGGCGGCGUGCUCGCGGUAACCCGGUCGUCGGAGCCCUCGGCCGUGCGAAGGUGUCAGCCGUAAUGUGUCAGCGUGAACCCGAUUCAGCCUCGUUACACUCAUCCCAAGUGGCCAGCCUUUCUGAGAGGGUGAAGCCAUCACGGGUCGUCCCAGCAACGAACACGUGCAGCGAUCCGACUUGGCGGGGUGAUUGGCGA